rnacentral:rRNA from 1 species
UACGAAGGGGGCUAGCGUUGCUCGGAAUCACUGGGCGUAAAGCGCACGUAGGCGGCUUACUAAGUCAGGGGUGAAAUCCUGGAGCUCAACUCCAGAACUGCCUUUGAUACUGGUGAGCUUGAGUCCGGAAGAGGUGAGUGGAACUGCGAGUGUAGAGGUGAAAUUCGUAGAUAUUCGCAAGAACACCAGUGGCGAAGGCGGGUCUCUGGGCCGAUACUGACGCUGAGGAGCGAAAGCGUGGGGAGCGAACAGG